CGGCGGCCGUAACUAUAACGGUCCUAAGGUAGCGAAAUUCCUUGUCGGGUAAGUUCCGACCUGCACGAAUGGCGUAAUGAUGGCCAGGCUGUCUCCACCCGAGACUCAGUGAAAUUGAACUCGCUGUGAAGAUGCAGUGUACCCGCGGCAAGACGGAAAGACCCCGUGAACCUUUACUAUAGCUUGACACUGAACAUUGAGCCUUGAUGUGUAGGAUAGGUGGGAGGCUUUGAAGCGUGGACGCCAGUCUGCGUGGAGCCAACCUUGAAAUACCACCCUUUAAUGUUUGAUGUUCUAACGUUGGCCCCUUACCGGGGUUGCGGACAGUGUCUGGUGGGUAGUUUGACUGGGGCGGUCUCCUCCCAAAGCGUAACGGAGGAGCACGAAGGUUAGCUAAUCCUGGUCGGACAUCAGGAGGUUAGUGCAAUGGCAUAAGCUAGCUUGACUGCGAGCGUGACGGCGCGAGCAGGUGCGAAAGCAGGUCAUAGUGAUCCGGUGGUUCUGAAUGGAAGGGCCAUCGCUCAACGGAUAAAAGGUACUCCGGGGAUAACAGGCUGAUACCGCCCAAGAGUUCAUAUCGACGGCGGUGUUUGGCACCUCGAUGUCGGCUCAUCACAUCCUGGGGCUGAAGUAGGUCCCAAGGGUAUGGCUGUUCGCCAUUUAAAGUGGUACGCGAGCUGGGUUUAGAACGUCGUGAGACAGUUCGGUCCCUAUCUGCCGUGGGCGCUGGAGAAUUGAGGGGGGCUGCUCCUAGUACGAGAGGACCGGAGUGGACGCAUCACUGGUGUUCGGGUUGUCAUGCCAAUGGCACUGCCCGGUAGCUAAAUGCGGAAGAGAUAAGUGCUGAAAGCAUCUAAGCACGAAACUUGCCCCGAGAUGAGUUCUCCCUGACUCCUUGAGAGUCCUGAAGGAACGUUGAAGACGACGACGUUGAUAGGCCGGGUGUGUAAGCGCAGCGAUGCGUUGAGCUAACCGGUACUAAUGAACCGUGAGGCUUAACCUU
rnacentral:rRNA from 1 species